rnacentral:rRNA from 1 species
UGGGGAAUAUUGCACAAUGGGCGAAAGCCUGAUGCAGCAACGCCGCGUGAGUGAUGAAGGUCUUCGGAUUGUAAAGCUCUGUCUUUUGGGACGAUAAUGACGGUACCAAAGGAGGAAGCCACGGCUAACUACGUGCCAGCAGCCGCGGUAAUACGUAGGUGGCGAGCGUUGUCCGGAUUUACUGGGCGUAAAGGGUGCGUAGGCGGAUGUUUAAGUGAGAUGUGAAAUACCCGGGCUUAACUUGGGUGCUGCAUUUCAAACUGGAUAUCUAGAGUGCAGGAGAGGAGAAUGGAAUUCCUAGUGUAGCGGUGAAAUGCGUAGAGAUUAGGAAGAACACCAGUGGCGAAGGCGAUUCUCUGGACUGUAACUGACGCUGAGGCACGAAAGCGUGGGUAGCAAACAGGAUUAGAUACCCUGGUAGUCCACGCCGUAAACGAUGAGUACUAGGUGUAGGAGGUAUCGACCCCUUCUGUGCCGCAGUAAACACAUUAAGUACUCCGCCUGGGAAGUACGAUCGCAAGGUUAAAAC